rnacentral:rRNA from 1 species
GACGAACGCUGGCGGCGUGCCUAAUACAUGCAAGUUGAGCGCUGAAGGUUGGUACUUGUACCAACUGGAUGAGCAGCGAACGGGUGAGUAACGCGUGGGGAAUCUGCCUUUGAGCGGGGGACAACAUUUGGAAACGAAUGCUAAUACCGCAUAAAAACUUUAAACACAAGUUUUAAGUUUGAAAGAUGCAAUUGCAUCACUCAAAGAUGAUCCCGCGUUGUAUUAGCUAGUUGGUGAGGUAAAGGCUCACCAAGGCGAUGAUACAUAGCCGACCUGAGAGGGUGAUCGGCCGCAUUGGGACUGAGACACGGCCCAAACGCCUACGGGAGGCAGCAGUAGGGAAUCUUCGGCAAUGGACGAAAGUCUGACCGAGCAACGCCGCGUGAGUGAAGAAGGUUUUCGGAUCGUAAAACUCUGUUGGUAGAGAAGAACGUUGGUGAGAGUGGAAAGCUCAGCAAGUGACGGUAACUACACAGAAAGGGACGGCUAACUACGUG